rnacentral:rRNA from 1 species
CGCGUAGGUGGUAGUGUAAGUCUGGGGUGGAAUCCCAGGGCUUAACCCUGGAACUGCCUUGGGAACUGCAUACUUGAGUCAGUGAGGGGAGGGUAGAAUUCCUGGUGUAGCGGUGAAAUGCGUAGAUAUCAGGAGGAAGGCCUGUGGCGAAGGCGGCCCUCUGGCGCUGGACUGACACUGAGGCGCGAAAGCGUGGGGAGCAAACAGGAUUAGAUACCCUGGUAGUCCACGCCCUAAACGGUGGGCACUAGGUGUAGGGCUCGUAAGGGUUCUGUGCCGAAGGGAAACCAUUAAGUGCCCCGCCUGGGGAGUACGGCCGCAAGGUUGAA